rnacentral:rRNA from 1 species
GGGGGGUGGCGGCGGGCUAUACAUGCAAGUAGAACGCGUGAAGGAGGAGCUUGCUUCUCCGGAUGAGUUGCGAACGGGUGAGUAACGCGUAGGUAACCUGCCUGGUAGCGGGGGAUAACUAUUGGAAACGAUAGCUAAUACCGCAUAACAGUAGAUAUUGCAUGAUAUCUGCUUGAAAGGUGCAAAUGCAUCACUACCAGAUGGACCUGCGUUGUAUUAGCUAGUUGGUGGGGUAACGGCUCACCAAGGCGACGAUACAUAGCCGACCUGAGAGGGUGAUCGGCCACACUGGGACUGAGACACGGCCCAGACUCCUACGGGAGGCAGCAGUAGGGAAUCUUCGGCAAUGGACGGAAGUCUGACCGAGCAACGCCGCGUGAGUGAAGAAGGUUUUCGGAUCGUAAAGCUCUGUUGUAAGAGAAGAACGAGUGUGAGAGUGGAAAGUUCACACUGUGACGGUAUCUUACCAGAAAGGGACGGCUAACUACGUGCCAGCAGCCGCGGUAAUACGUAGGUCCCGAGCGUUGUCCGGAUUUAUUGGGCGUAAAGCGAGCGCAGGCGGUUAGAUAAGUCUGAAGUUAAAGGCUGUGGCUUAACCAUAGUACGCUUUGGAAACUGUUUAACUUGAGUGCAAGAGGGGAGAGUGGAAUUCCAUGUGUAGCGGUGAAAUGCGUAGAUAUAUGGAGGAACACCGGUGGCGAAAGCGGCUCUCUGGCUUGUAACUGACGCUGAGGCUCGAAAGCGUGGGGAGCAAACAGGAUUAGAUACCCUGGUAGUCCACGCCGUAAACGAUGAGUGCUAGGUGUUAGACCCUUUCCGGGGUUUAGUGCCGCAGCUAACGCAUUAAGCACUCCGCCUGGGGAGUACGACCGCAAGGUUGAAACUCAAAGGAAUUGACGGGGGCCCGCACAAGCGGUGGAGCAUGUGGUUUAUUCGAAACAACGCGAAAACCUUACCAGGUCUUGACAUCUCUCUGACCUCUCUAGAGAUAGAGAUUUCCUUUGGGACAGAGGUGACAGGUGAUGCAUGUUGGUCUCCAGCUCGGCGUCGUGAAAUGUUGGUUAGUCCGCAACGAGCGGCAACUCCUUAUUGUGUUACUUGGCCAUCCAUUGAGUUGGCCCUUCUAGCGCAGGACUGCCGGGUACAUAACCCGAAGGAUGGUCCGG